rnacentral:tRNA from 1 species
UGGCGCAGUUGGGAGCGCGCAUGACUGGCAGUCAUGAGGUCGUCGGUUCGAUCCCGAC